rnacentral:rRNA from 1 species
GACAGAGGGGGCAAGCGUUGCUCGGAAUCACUGGGCGUAAAGGGCGCGUAGGCGGGAUGGCAAGUCAGUCGUGAAAUCUCUCGGCUCAACCGAGAAACGUCGGCUGAUACUGCCGUUCUUGAGGGAUGCAGAGGAGACUGGAAUUCAUGGUGUAGCAGUGAAAUGCGUAGAGAUCAUGAGGAAGACCAGUGGCGAAGGCGGGUCUCUGGACAGUUCCUGACACUGAGACACGAAGGCCAGGGGAGCAAACGGG